AGCCUAUGAUGAAUUACCCUAAAUUCUGACACCUCGUAUGAGAACUGCAUGUGCAGUCUGAUUAUACUGCGAGACUGAGGCUU
ensembl:snoRNA